UACGGUCGUAUCACGUUGAUUCACCGGACGAUCACCGAAAUUAAGCAAAGUUGAGCUUGGUUAGUACUCAGUUGGGUGACCGCUGGGGAAUACCAUAUGGUGUAA